rnacentral:rRNA from 1 species
CCUACGGGAGGCUGCAGUGAGGAAUAUUGGUCAAUGGACGCAAGUCUGAACCAGCCAUGCCGCGUGCAGGAAGACGGCUCUAUGGGUUGUAAACUGCUUUUGUACGAGGGUAAACGACGCCACGCGUAUCGUUCUGAAAGUACCCUACGAAUAAGGAUCGGCUAACUCCGUGCCAGCAGCCGCGGUAAUACGGAGGAUCCAAGCGUUAUCCGGAUUUAUUGGGUUUAACGGGUUGGGAGGCGGGCAGAUAAGUUAGCGGUGAAAUGUCGGGGCUUAACUCUUGAAGUGCCUCUGAUACUGGUGGGCUAGAGUGUAUGAGAGGUAGGCGGAAUGUAUGGUGUAGCGGUGAAAUGCAUAGAGAUCACACAGAACACCGAUUGCGAAGGCAGCAUACCAAGGCACAACUGACGUUGAGGCACGAAAGUGUGGGUAGCAAACAGGAUUAGAUACCCGAGUAGUC